CAUGAGAAUAACAGAUCCAGAUUGCUCUCGAAUUCUGGUACCUCUAUUUUCAAAAUCUGGGCAGUUUUUAUUUAUCAACCACCACCGAUUAAAUCACUGGGGAAGUCCCCCACUUAGCUGGUUUCUUUUUCGGGAAUGUAUGGUGAUAAUUCCUUCUUACCGAUUCUGUUGGGAGACGUGGAACCAAUUUCUACAUCUCUCUCUCGUCAAUCUCACUUCAGCUAUUUCCAGAUUCACCAGUUAAAAAUUGCUAGAAAUUCCCCAAAUCUAGAAAUCAUCAGUGAACGAUGAAACACCAAUCCUGAAAAUUCGUCCAUCAGUCCAGAUCUGGAGAACAAAACAUCCAGCUUCUGGAAAAAUUUCUAAGUUCUUGGUUGGGGGAAAUUCGUCUUCUCACCACGUUUGGAUCGCGGCCAACGAGUCGAUUCUUGGCAUCGCACCAAUUCUCCGAUGAGAAUCGGGGAAUCUCUUAUGGAUUUGAGGCAAUCCCCAAAAAUAGCAACAAAAAUCAUCGGAAGAAAUCUGGGUGACGGAGCUUCACUCAUACCCCAGAUCGUGCCCUGAUUUCCCCCCAUACCGAUUUAUUUUGAUCUCGCCGCUGAUUAGGGGACGCCGUGUUACCGAUGCGCUACCACAUCAUUUUCUUACCAAGAUUCCCGUCGCCGCGGCCUUGAAAUCCGACGAGACGGGUGUCAAUCGUUGUUCCACGGGAGUUCGACGCUCCUCAUCGAUCUAUUCUUCAACGCAGAGAUAGUCGAACCAACGAUUUGGUUAAUGGGGGCUGUUAUUGUGCAUUAGCACUAUGUUGUGCGACAUCAUCAAAGAGAAUUCUGGCGACUCAUGUGACCGCACUGCUCAGCCCGAUACAACCGAUUUCUAGUAUUCGACGUUCCCAAGUUAAUUCAGGGAAGAAUCUUGUGUUAUUAUAUUGAUAUAAGUUUCAAUUCUUCAUUAUUUAUCUUUAUUCUUAGCAUAGCUCGAGAGGGGCUGAAAUCUUGUUCAAUGGAUUGGUGAUUUUGUGUGUCUUUCUUGUAGCUUUCUAGCAGGGCUGUCCUCAAGAAACUUUUUACUCAAAAGGAUGAACUCUACGAGGGUUUAACAUGCCAUGCUAUUAAUUCAAGUCCGUGAGGUUCAUUGUUAUCGGAGCAGUAGGACAUCUGAAUCUGUACAUGUGGGACGGAGAUUAUCGUUACUCAGUCCAUAGCUCAGCGUUGGUGGUGAAGCUCAACAUUUAAACCUAAAUCUAAACAAGUCGAAAAAUGAGAUCAGCUUUAUGUUGAACAUGUGGUCCUUCCAAGCUUCGGCGUUGGUUGCUUCCGUUCUUUGUCUGCGCAGACCUUAUCAGGGGCGUGAUCAGCCCCCUCGUAUGUAUUGCCUUCUGGUCUUGUCCGCGCAGCUCUUCUGAUCCUUGUUCUCGCUGAAGAUGUUUACUUCUUUGAGUCCUUUCCGAGUGUUACCUUGGGGUUAGGCUGUCUCUUCUAGUCUGCGCCACUGACUUGCUUUGACCAUCAUGUGAUGCACCUAUGUUCUUUGAAUCAAGCAUGUUUGGGGCCUAAAUCAGCGCCGUUGACCCUCGUCUAGGGUAGGAUGGCUGAUGAGAUCCUUACUCCUCAUCAGUUGGAGCGACAAACGGGUACACGCUUCUUGCGGCGGGUCUGCUAUUCAUCCUGAUGUAGCCUCCAACUCUACUGGACUUCCAAGCCCAUGUGGCUGUCUUGUAGAUGGCUUAUUGACACACAAAGGGGCAGCGCAGUACUGUAGUCUUAAAGGGCAGCAUAGGUUCACGAAAAGGACUAAAUGGGCAGCGCGGAUUCAUGAUCUUCUGAUAUUCAGCUGCGCAGCCACCUAUGGUCUUCUCUUUCUUUUGAUGUUCAACUGCGCAGCCACCUAUGGUCAUCUCUCUCUUCUGAUGUUCAGCUGCGCAACCAGCUAUGGACCCUUUUAUUUCCA